CCUACGGGGUGCAGCAGUGGGGGAUAUUGCACAAUGGGCGAUACCCUGAUGCAGCGACGCCGCGUGUGGGAAUACUGUCCUCUGGAUUGUAAACCACUGUCCCCAGGGACGAAAAUGACGAUACCUGGGGAGGUAGCUCCGGCAAACUACGUGCCAGCAGCCGCGGUAAUACGUGGGGAGCGCGCGUUGUCCGGAAUUACUGGGUGUAAAGGGAGCGUAGGCGGGGAUGCAAGUUGGGUGUCAAAACUACCGGCUCAACUGGUAGUUGCCCGUAAACCUGCAGCUCUUGAGUGAAGGAGAGGCAGGCGGAAUGCCUAGUGUAGCGGUGAAAUGCGUAGAUAUUAGGAGGAACACCAGUGGCGAAGGCAGCCUGCUGGGCUUUUACUGACGCUGAGGCUCGAAAGUGUGGGGAGCAAACAGGAUUAGAUACCCCAGUAGUC
rnacentral:rRNA from 1 species